rnacentral:tRNA from 1 species
GCCUUCGUGGUAUAGAGGUCAAGCACACUCGGUUCGUAUCCGAGAGGUCCGUGGUUCGAAUCCCGGCGAGGGCA